AGUGAACGCUGGCGGUAGGCCUAACACAUGCAAGUCGAACGGCAGCACAGUAAGAGCUUGCUCUUACGGGUGGCGAGUGGCGGACGGGUGAGGAAUACAUCGGAUUCUACUUUUUCGUGGGGGAUAACGUCGGGAAACUUACGCUAAUACCGCAUACAACCUCCGGGUGAACGCAGGGGAUCUUCGGACCUUGCGCGAUUGAAUGAGCCGAUGUCGGAUUAGCUCGUUGGCGGGGUAAAGGCACAACAAGGCGACGCUCCGUAGCUGGUCUGAGAGGAUGAACAGCCACACUGGAACUGAGACACGGUCCAGACUCCUACGGGAGGCAGCAGUGGGGAAUAUUGGACGAUGGGCGCAAGCCUGAUCCAGCCAUACCGCGUGGGUGAAGAAGGCCUUCGGGUUGUAAAGCCCUUUUGUUGGGAAAGAAAAGCAGCAGGUUAAUACCCCGCGGUUCUGACGGUACCCAAAGAAUAAGCACCGGCUAACUUCGUG
rnacentral:rRNA from 1 species